rnacentral:rRNA from 1 species
AUACUGCAAGUCGAGCGGACUUUUAAAGCUUGCUUUUGAAAGGUCAGCGGCGGACGGGUGAGUAACACGUGGGCAACCUGCCUGUAAGACUGGGAUAACUUCGGGAAACCGGAGCUAAUACCGGAUAAUAUAAAGAACCUCCUGGUUCUUUAUUGAAAGAUGGUUUCGGCUAUCACUUACAGAUGGGCCCGCGGCGCAUUAGCUAGUUGGUGAGGUAAUGGCUCACCAAGGCGACGAUGCGUAGCCGACCUGAGAGGGUGAUCGGCCACACUGGGACUGAGACACGGCCCAGACUCCUACGGGAGGCAGCAGUAGGGAAUCUUCCACAAUGGACGAAAGUCUGAUGGAGCAACGCCGCGUGAGCGAUGAAGGCCUUCGGGUCGUAAAGCUCUGUUGUUAGGGAAGAACAAGUGCGAGAGUAACUGCUCGCACCUUGACGGUACCUAACCAGAAAGCCACGGCUAACUACGUGCCAGCAGCCGCGGUAAUACGUAGGUGGCAAGCGUUGUCCGGAAUUAUUGGGCGUAAAGCGCGCGCAGGUGGUCCUUUAAGUCUGAUGUGAAAGCCCACGGCUCAACCGUGGAGGGUCAUUGGAAA